UGCUGCAGGAUCUGGUCCAGGUCUCUCUAAAGACCCUGAGGUGGAUCUAGUCAGGACUGGUCUCCUCUAAACCCUGAGGUGGAUCUGGUCUGGACUGGUCUCCUCUAAACCCUGAGGUGGAUCUGGUCUGGACUGGUCUCCUCUAAACCCUGAGGUGGAUCUGGUCUGGACUGGUCUGAGGUGGAUCUGGUCUGAGGUGGAUCAAAACUAAAACCAAAUGAAGGGCAGCGGCUUAAAGAGGCGGAAAGACCCCGAGAUCCCUAACCCUAUGACCCCCACACCCCUGUGUCCCCUCAGUCCCCCACACCCCUGUGUCCCCUCAGUCCCCUCAGUCCCCCACACCUCUGUGUCCCCUCAGUCCCCUCAGUCCCCCACACCUCUGUGUCCCCUCAGUCCCCUCAGUCCCCCACACCCCUGUGUCCCCUCAGUCCCCCACACCUCUGUGCCCCCUCAGUCCCCCACACCUCUGUGUCCCCU
ensembl:lncRNA